AUUGAACGCUGGCGGCAGGCCUAACACAUGCAAGUCGAGCGGAGCGGCGGACGGGUGAGUAAUGCCAAGGAAUCUGCCUGGUAGUGGGGGAUAACGUCCGGAAACGGGCGCUAAUAACGCAUAUUAUCAGAUGAACCUAGGUCGGAUUAGGUAGUUGGUUGGGGAAAGGCCUACCAAGGCGACGAUCCGUAACUGGUCUGAGAGGAUGACCAGUCACACUGGAACGGAGACACGGUCCAGGCUCCUACGGGGGGCAGCAGUGGGGAAUAUUGGGCAAUGGGCGAAAGCCUGAGCCAGCCAUGCCGCGUGUGUAAAGAAGGCCUUCGGGUUGUAAAGCACUUUCAGCGGGGAGGCGUUACCCGCAGAAGAAGCACCGGCUAACUCCGUGCCAGCAGCCGCGGUAAUAC
rnacentral:rRNA from 1 species